CUCCACUUCCUCCAGGACGAGGUCGUGGCUGGGGCCACUGUCAUGCAUGCGGCUAUGGCCCUGCCAGUCUUCAUUGGGCUAUUGGUGCGGAUGCACCCCCGACACCGGAGCGUGCGUCCCAGCGGCCGCUGAUUCCUGCAGAUUCCCCCACAGUAGGGUCAGAUGCGGCGAGGCCCAGCAGUACACAAGCCCCUGCCAAGUCGUGGGAUGCACCACAACCACCCCUACCACCAUCGCCACCACUGCGACCAAUGUCCCAAAGACACUGUAUCAGUUUUCGGAACUUUUUAUUUGGAACUUUUUAUUGUUUUUAAUAUUUAAUUAUUUUUUCAAGUCUGACCGAGAUUUUCACACUGCGAUCAUUAACCGCAUUCCUAGGGGAACAUAUCGCGUAUCCCACAGGAGCACCAAUUAUUUUGGUAUAACAAUUUAAAGUAUGUGGAAUUUGUAGCUGUCCUCAUGGUGGGAUUGCAACAACAAGUUGAUGUUCAAGAUCGUCAAGUCGCAGGUUUGGUAAAUUCCUGCGAAAGUGGUUCGCCGACACCUGGAAUCAGUUUGCCCGAACGCUGUGGUUGAUCGAGGAGAUCUCGCGCCAACUUUUGGAGUACUAAGAGAGCCCAAAAUUCCAGGCACAAUCGACAAAGAACAACUCGGAAGCAGCUGCUACUGUCUACCGCUGGGAAUUGUCCUCCAUUGGGGCUCACAAGCGUAAGAUGGAGGCACAACUCGAAUGCCUGGUCAAAUAGAUGGAGGUGUUUGAGAAGGUGCUGCAAAAAGAAGGAGGACGACUAGUGGAGCGGCCCGAGAGCAGCGGAAGUCGCGGAGCUGUUCCUGAACAUGAUGGAGGAACGACAAAGCCAGCACAACAAUAAUCAAGACCCUUUAUUGUCCUCUCAAGGCUCGGUGGCUCGGAACGAGCAAUAGGUGUGUCUGUCAGCAACGAGCGGCUGGAAUAAGGGCUGAGUAUUCGAUCUCGGCUCCGAGGCCCACUACACUGUUGCUGGACCAUCACAACCCAAUGGGUCUACUGCUCCAUUGCACUCACCACAACAACCGCCGCGCCCCGACCUUGAUGAUCAGGUAGCAAGAUGCGAGGAGUGGAUGCGGUGGUUGGAUCCCACAUGGCCCGAUCCUCCAGCACCCUAGCCUCGAACUGAUUCCCCGGUACUCGACAGCAACGACGAAGAGCCCACGGUCGAAGGGAUACUGAUUUAGAUUAGU